ACGGCUCAGUAACACGUGGAUAACCUGCCCAAGGGUCUGGGAUAACCCCGGGAAACUGGGGAUAAUACCGGAUGGAUCACUAGUGCUGGAAUGCUUGGUGGUCGAAAGGCAACGCCUUUGGAUGGGUCUGCGGCGGAUUAGGUUGACGCCGGUGUAACGUACCGGCGUGCCUGUAAUCCGUACGGGUUGUGGGAGCAAGAGCCCGGAGAUGGAUUCUGAGACACGAAUCCAGGCCCUACGGGGCGCAGCAGGCGCGAAAACUCUACAAUGCAGGCAACUGCGAUAGGGGGACAUCGAGUGGCAUCCACCUUGGGUGCCUGUCCAACCGUCUAAAAAACGGUUGUUAGCAAGGGCCGGGUAAGACCGGUGCCAGCCGCCGCGGUAAUACCGGCGGCUCGAGUGGUGGCCGAUAUUAUUGAGACUAAAGGGUCCGUAGCCAGCUUUGCAAGUCCCCUGGGGAAUCCAGCGGCUUAACCGUUGGGCUUUCAUGGGAUACUACAUUGCUUGGGACUGGGAGAGGUAGGAGGUACUCGGGGGGUAGGGGUGAAAUCCUGUAAUCCUCCGGGGACCACCGGUGGCGAAGGCGUCCUACCAGAACAGGUCCGACGGUGAGGGACGAAAGCUAGGGGCACGAACCGGAUUAGAUACCCGGGUAGUCCUAGCCGUAAACGAUGCCCGCUAGGUGUCACGACGGUCGUGAAUCGUCGUGGUGCCGUAGGGAAGCCGCGAAGCGGGCCACUUGGGAAGUACGGCCGCAAGGCUGAAACUUAAAGGAAUUGGCGGGGGAGCAC
rnacentral:rRNA from 1 species